rnacentral:tRNA from 1 species
GCGGGUAUAGUUUAGUGGUAAAAACCCUUAGCCUUCCAAGCUAACGAUGCGGGUUCGA